rnacentral:rRNA from 1 species
GACGAACGCUGGCGGCGUGCUUAACACAUGCAAGUCGAACGGAAAGGCCCUGCUUGCAGGGUACUCGAGUGGCGAACGGGUGAGUAACACGUGGGUGAUCUGCCCUGCACUUCGGGAUAAGCCUGGGAAACUGGGUCUAAUACCGGAUAGGACCAUCGUUUAGUGUCGGUGGUGGAAAGUUUUUCGGUGCAGGCUGAGCUCGCGGCCUAUCAGCUUGGUGGUGGGGUAAUGGCCUACCAAGGCGUCGACGGGUAGCCGGCCUGAGAGGGUGGACGGCCACAUUGGGACUGAGACGCGGCCCAGACUCCUACGGGAGGCAGUAGUGGGGAAUAUUGCACAAUGGGCGCAAGCCUGAUGCAGCGACGCCGCGUGGGGGAUGAAGGCCUUCGGGUUGUAAACUCCUUUCAACCAUGACGAAGCAUUAUGUGACGGUAGUGGUAGAAGAAGCACCGGCUAACUACGUGCCAGCAGCCGCCGUAA